UUGGAAAAUUACCAUAGGACAGUAAAGUGCUGACAUGCAGUAGGUGCUCGGAUAUUUAUGGGAUGCUUCAGAGGAACAAUUAUCUGAAUAUCAAAUAUUUUUUGUGCCUAUCACUGAAGAAAUUUAAAUGCACUUAAUAAAAGUACCAUACUUUCCAAAAACUCAUAAGGAGAAUAGGAGUUUGGCCAUGUCUGAAGAUCUGUGACUGGGACCUAGACUAGGCAUCACUAGUUUAUAAUAUAAAUGCAAUGAAAAGUAUCUGAAAGCUUACUCUUCACUCUGAAUUGAGUCUGUCAGAGCCUGUAUAUGAAAUAUAUAUAAUAUCUGUAUAGAACCCAGUGUAAAUAUAUUCUUCUUGCAUGCAUCCAUGGAGGAAAACUGAGAUGGUUAGGACAGUACUAAAUUCAUACUUCCUUCCCAAAUAAUGCAUGAAAUAAAUGGCUCCAAUUUCCUGGCUU
rnacentral:lncRNA from 1 species